UCAGACAAUGUAAGAGAGAUUUACACAUUUUGCACGACCUUAAAAAUCGACACUUUGAUCUUAUCAAGAAAAACGAAUAACAGCAAGCUUUCUCAUUGCAGAAUCCCUAAAAGCAGGGAUGACUAAUGCCUAAGGUGAGAGUUUCUUAACUUUCUUGAUUACAUUCACUUUUGCUGGAAAAUGUAUCGACAUAAGCAAGAUUCGUUCGAACCAUGCAGCUAUUGGUUUGUAGAUUCUUUGGCUCUGUUCUACAUUUUAUCAUUAACUUACACAAAAUAAUACUAAUGCACAUUGAGUUACAAGAUUUCAAGUCCUUUUCUUUAGUAACAGUCCUUAUGUCCGAAAAUGAAGUAUGAGUGAGGCGAUAUUCGAGCAAGAAAUUAGCUGCUUGGCCUACAUAUUUUGGUUGUGUAUCUGAGAAGCCUUAUGAUCAAAAGUAAGGUCUUUGCUUUUGGCCUAGGAAUGAAGGGGAAUAGGGUAAGUUGCUUGUGGAGAAAGGCUAUCAAGAAAGGAAAAGUGGUUAUUGAUCAUUUGAUUACCAUGUUUACUCCAAAACCAAAAACUAAUAAUUCUCUCUCUCUCUCUCAUGCCAAGGAAUGAAGGGAAAAAAGGGUAAAUUGCUUCUGGAGAAAGGCUAUCAAGAAAGGAAAAGUGAGAUUAUUGAUUAUCUCAUUACCAUGUUUAUUCCAAAGCCAAAAAGGUAUAGUAUAUCAUGCUCUCUCUCUCUCUCUCUCUCAUGGCUGUAUUGCCAAGGAAUGAAGGGAAAAGGAGGAAAGUUGCUUCUGGAGAAAGGCUAUCAAGAAAAGAAAAUUGAGGGAAAAGGGAGGAAAGUUGCUUCUGAAGAAAGGCUAUCAAGAAAGGAAAAGUAAGGUUGUUGAUCAUCCCAUUACAAUGUUUACUCCAAAACCAAAAACUUAUAGUAAUAUUCUCA